AUUUUAUCUCCUUUUCAUUUGUCUCUCUCCUCAUUUUCAAAAACCAGAGAUAAGCCAUAACUCACCAUCAUCAUCUUCAUCCAUUUCAAAAUCAAAUUCACACAGAUCUUCAUCCAUUUCAAAAUCAUUUGUCUCUCUCGAUUAUGUACAGAAGACACACACACAAACAAGUAUCAACUGCUUCACCCCUUCUCCCAAGCUCAGCCAACAAUCCCCCAUGUUUCUUCUCCGGUGAGACCACCGGCGGUAGUGGUUGAUUCCAGCUGCGACAUCCCCACCCACUUGAUCUCGUUCUCCGGCGGUAACUCCGAGCAACAGAACAUCCACACCUGUUACACUACAACCACCCUCUCAUUCCCUCUUUCACGAACUCCCACACGACUCCUCCCUUCGACGGACAAAUGACCACCACGACCACCGUCCGGUGAUGGCGUGAAGACAGGACAGAGAAAGAGGCGAGUUAGAGGUGGUCCGACGAGGACAGUUGACAGCGACAGCACCAUGAGCAGCGGUCGCUGGCGGCGGCCGUGGGUGCGAUAGCAGUGGCGGCAGCCUGCGUUGGUUCUCCGUCAAACUUCCGAACAGUCACGACAACCAAUCUUCUCCUCCGAUAAGUUCACCGAUCCUUCAUUCUUUUCGUUCUGUUUCUUUGAUUUCGGGUUUAAUUGGUUUGAGUUUUGUUUGUUUCGGGAACCUACUAGUAAGUUUCAAUUUUUUGAUUUUGUUGAAUAUUACAGGCUCCUUUUUGGAUAACCUCUGAAAUUGUUAUUUAUAUACAUAUUGAAUUUAGGGGUUAGAUCUAGAUUUAUGCAAUGGAUUAUGAAAUGAAGAAACAUUUGUUUGAAUAAUUUUUUUAUUAAAAAUCUUUAGAUUUAGAUUUUGAUACAUACGUAGUAUUAUUUUUUAGUUAUAAUCACCAAUAAUCGUGUCUGUAGUGUGCACUAUGUUGAAAAUUGUGGAUCUGUUAUGCGAAUUUUGUUUAUUUUGUUGCUGUUGAGUGUAGUUGCUGCCGAAAACAAAGAGGGAAAAGAAAGGGAACCACCACCAGCUGCUGUGGCUAAAGAAGAUGACGACUACAGUAGAGGUUCGGGUUCACUUCAGAUUUUGUCAGGUUUUCGUCUCGGUUUCGGGUCUUGGUAAAAGCUGGUCAGCCGCGGUUCGGGUGUGGUUCGACGGGUCAGAUUGUGGUUCAUUACAAUUUGGUUCAACUAUUCAAACCCGGUAAACUCGGUUCGAUGUCGGGUGAACUCAGUCAAUGGCAAUUAAAGGCUCGGUCAACGAAUGUCAAAGUUAGUCAACUGGUCAAAGCCAAUCAACAAAAGUCAACGGUCAAAUUGCCGGUCAACAGCAGUCAACCACGGUCAAAACCAGACCCGGUAACAGUUUAAACAAUGCGAAAAUCUUGUUUAUAUAGUUAUAGAUUUUUAGUUAUACGCGACCCGAGCUCGAACCGACUGGAUUAGAAAUUUGUUUUGUUUUGAUAUUUCGACGGAAACUAUAAAUAUUGAUAUUUGUGAUUGGUUUA